AUUGAACGCUGGCGGCAGGCCUAACACAUGCAAGUCGAGCGGAUGAAGGGAGCUUGCUCCUGGAUUCAGCGGCGGACGGGUGAGUAAUGCCUAGGAAUCUGCCUGGUAGUGGGGGAUAACGUCCGGAAACGGGCGCUAAUACCGCAUACGUCCUGAGUGGGAACGUGGGGGAUCUUAGGACCUCACGCUACCAGAUGAGCCUAGGUCGGAUUAGCUAGUUGGUGGGGUAAAGGCCUACCAAGGCGACGAUCCGUAACUGGUCUGAGAGGAUGAUCAGCCACACUGGAACUGAGACACGGUCCAGACUCCUACGGGAGGCAGCAGUGGGGAAUAUUGGACAAUGGGCGAAAGCCUGAUCCAGCCAUGCCGCGUGUGUGAAGAAGGUCUUCGGAUUGUAAAGCACUUUAAGUUGGGAGGAAGAGCAGUAUGUUAAUCCCUUGCUGUUUUGACGUUACCAACAGAAUAAGCACCGGCUAACUUCGUG
rnacentral:rRNA from 1 species